GGUUUUCCACUAUUUCCCACUUUCAAUUCACUUACCAGAUUCAUUUUUUUAAUCCAAAUUUAAUGCUUUUAUAUAUGUGUUUCCGAUGAAAAUUUCAGAAUUUGAUUGAAUUUGGUUAUGAAAUUGGAAACAAUAUUUCAACUAAUCCUUUUGUAUGUGCAUUUUACUAUAUUAUUUAGGAGCUGAUGAUGAAAGUAAUAGAAGCAUGAGCUACAACAAUGUUCUGCGCAACGUGUUAUGACAUGGGUUGUUGUUGCUAUGAAGAAUGUGCCUAUAUGCUAAUCUGAGGCUCCAUUAUCUUUUAUUAUUCGAGUUCAUCCUUUUUUUUUGUUCAUGUUCCAUAACAAUUAUGUUUUUUCUUAUGUAAACACUCCAGUCCUUACAUGCGACUCCACCCUCUCCCGGCCUAUGAAUAUAGUGAGCUUGUUAUCCAUAAAGGGAGCCUUCCCGCCUUGAGGUCACGAGUUCGAGUCGCGGGAGGUUCCCUUUGUAGGGAAUAAAAUACUGCAAGAGUUGGAUAUGCUCAACACAUACCAGGACUGUGGUGUUACGUCUGAUAAUUUUUCUCGGGUGUUUUGCAAUAGUGGUUGGAUUUAAUUAAAAAUUUGAUCAGAAUUUAUCCAAUUAUUGAUUUAAUUUUAGUUAUUUUUAUAUUAUGCUUGAAUCCGAAUACUUUUAAUGUUUGUUGGAGUAUGUUUCUCUCACUAUAAAUAGAGUGAAAACAACACAUAUCUUUUCACUACAUUAUGCUUAUAUUUGUGAAUUGCAUUUGAGAAUCAUCUAUUGAUACUGAAAUGUUCACAUUCUAUUCGGUUCAUUUAGGAAUGACAACAAAGCGAAUCAGAGUCGGAUUUGUACAUAUCCAAAUCCGAACCCGAACUCAAUGGGAUUGAAAAUAAAUGUACUAUCCUCAAACCCGGUUUUUCAGGUAACUCGAACCCAAUAGAAAACCCGAAAAUAAUGAAUCUCCUGAAGUAGAGUUAUGCCUUUAGUACCUAAAGUUAAAUUAGAUAUUAAGAAAAUUGAAAUAUGAUUGAAUUUGUAAUUGCAAAUUGAAUUACAUUACUUCGGGGUAAGUUUGGGGUAAGGUCUUAGCUCUACCAAAUUCGAAUCCAAAAAUUAAACCCGUAUAAAAUCCGAACAUAAACCCAAUCACAUUGGGCUUUCACCGUUGAAUCCAGGUUGAGUUUCGGCGGGUAUCCAUGGGAUCGGUUUUCAUUAUCAUCCCUAAGUUAAUUAGCAAUCUAAGAUGUUCAUUUCUCCAACUACACUGAAAGAAUAAGUUUUCACAAUUUCUGAUGUUUAACCCUCAUACAGUUUUCCUAUGAUGUAGCUCAUUGCAGGCUACUAAUGGAACAUGAUUGCCAUUUUCAUAUU